rnacentral:rRNA from 1 species
AGUGAACGCUGGCGGUAGGCCUAACACAUGCAAGUCGAACGGCAGCACAGGAGAGCUUGCUCUCUGGGUGGCGAGUGGCGGACGGGUAAGGAGUACAUCGGAAUCUACUCUGUCGUGGGGGAUAACGUAGGGAAACUUACGCUAAUACCGCAUACGACCUACGGGUGAAAGCAGGGGAUCUUCGGACCUUGCGCGAUUGAAUGAGCCGAUGUCGGAUUAGCUAGUUGGCGGGGUAAAGGCCCACCAAGGCGACGAUCCGUAGCUGGUCUGAGAGGAUGAUCAGCUACACUGGAACUGAGACACGGUCCAGACUCCUACGGGAGGCAGCAGUGGGGAAUAUUGGACAAUGGGCGCAAGCCUGAUCCAGCCAUACCGCGUGGGUGAAGAAGGCCUUCGGGUUGUAAAGCCCUUUUGUUGGGAAAGAAAUCCAGCUGGCUAAUACCCGGUUGGGAUGACGGUACCCAAAGAAUAAGCACCGGCUAACUUCGUGCCAGCCGCCGCCGUAA